ACGGGGUGCAGCAGGCGCGAAAUCUCCGCAAUGUGAGAAAUCGCGACGGGGGGAUCCCAAGUGCCAUUCUUAACGGGAUGGCUUUUCAUUAGUGUAAAGGGCUUUUGGAAUAAGGGCUGGGCAAGACCGGUGCCAGCCGCCGCGGUAACACCGGCAGCUCUAGUGGUAGCAGUUUUUAUUGGGCCUAAAGCGUCCGUAGCCGGUUUAAUAAGUCUCUGGUGAAAUCCUGUAGCUUAACUGUGGGAAUUGCUGGAGAUACUAUUAGACUUGACACCGGGAGAGGUUAGAGGUACUCCCAGGGUAGAGGUGAAAUUCUGUAAUCCUGGGAGGACCCGCCUGUUGCGAAGGCGUCUAACCUGGAACGGUUCUGACGGUGAGGGACGAAUAGUUAGGGGCGCGAACCGGGAUUAGAUACCCGGGUAGUCCUAACUGUAAACGAUUGCGGACUUGGUGUUGGGGUGGGCUUUGAGCUGUUCCAGCUGCCGAAGGGAAAGCUGUUAAAGUCCGCCGCCUGGGAAGUACGGUCGCAAGACUGAAACUUAAGGAAUUGGCCGGGGGGGAAGCCAC
rnacentral:rRNA from 1 species